CGCAUUGCAUGGUGGAGGUGGUGGUGUGUAUAGGAAUUCGAAAAAAAAAAAAAUCAAAAAAAAAAUGGAAGAACAAAUCAUGGCGGAGUACGACGAUGACUACACUUUCACGGUGUAUGAGGUUGAUCUCGACUACGAAUUCGACGCCGCCCGCUUCUUCGAUUUCAGCCGAGCCGAAUCGCCUCUGGAGCUGCGCCUGGCCGAAUUCUGGUUCAGCUCCGCCGCCAGCUACCCCGAUUCUCCGUUUGUGUCCAAGCUAGUUUCAAGGGAGGAUGAAAACCCGAUGGAAAAUAUCAACACCUCCCCAAAAUCUAAAGGCGCGGAUGACGACAUGGACUUAUUGGAGAAUUCAGAUAUCGAGGUGGACGAAGAAAUUUCCGCUGCGGGGAUGAAUUACAGAGGCUUUACAUUUGUGGCGAAUAAUGUUAACUCAAAACCGAAACAGAAGUUGUCCGUGAAGCCAUCUUUCUCUAGGACGUCAACUCUUAUGAAACCGACAGCGAGUCAAUUGGCCAAGCAAAGACAUCCUCUUGAGAGUCGUUAUUCUAGGUCACACAGGUCGGUUUCGGAGAAAGCAAAUAAGAGCUCAAGUAGUGUUUGUGACACUGUGAAUCAAGCUGCAAAAAGACAAAAGCUCGAGGGUGGUCUUCUGAUGAAGGUCGAGGGGGCACAACAACUGCAGCAAACUAAUUUUGUCCAUAAGACGCCUAAGCGGGAUGGACUACUUGUUGGAAGCACACCUCAUACCAUACCAAGGAUAACUACUCCUAUAGAGCCAGAACUUAAAACGGCACACAGGGCUCAACGGACAAGGCCAAAAAGUAAUAUAGAAGCUGAGAAUGUGGCAUCAGUUGUUCGUAAAUUCAAAGCUCGUCCAUUGAAUAGAAAAAUACUUGAAGCGCCUCCAUUGUUUCCAAAGAGAAGCACUCCUCAUUUACCUGAUUUUCAAGAAUUUCACUUGAAGACGUCAGAGAGAGCCAUUCAACACCGCGCAGCAGUCCCUUCUGAUAACGAUGAUAAGGCCUUGCGGAAAUAUGCCACUAAUAUAACCUCCGGGGAUGGAAAUAGAGGAACUCCAAGAAGCAGCGAAAAUGUUGCUACGAGGCCGGAUGAUUUUGGGUCAUCUCGUACCUUCAAAACUCUUUCCCUCAAUAAGAAGCCGUUCAUUUACCAGAUGGAGAAGAAGUCUCGUAACAAUCCACCAACUGAACUUUUCAGCAAGCUUUCUCUGGCAUCCGAUACACAAGAAAUUCCUAAUUUCGAGUCAAAGUUGCCACGGUCCAUCAUCUUAUCCAUGGAGGUUUCUUUAUAUUCUUUUAAUCAUUUUUAAGAGGAUUAAUAUUGUUAUAUGAAUGUUUUGAUGAAUUAACUGAUUUCUUACAAGGGCUCAAAAGAGAAUAGGUGGUGAUCAUAUUCAUGGGGGUUCCUCCCACGAAGACAUGCACCGAGGAGUGAGGAC